GCAGCUUCAGCAGCGAAGCCACGGUGUCCGCCAGACGAGUGCGCCGCUUGGGGAGAAGAGCUCCUGCCGGCGCUCCUGCUGCGGCCGUGUGACCAAGGUUCCACUACCCGGGCCUGAUGCAGAGGCGGGACCAAGGACAAGCCCUGCUGAGCGGCUUCUGCCAGUCCCCAGUGGCCGAGCGCCGUGUCUCGGUCGAGGCCUACCGAGGUACUGUCCGCCUGGGUCUACCCUGGGUCGCAGUCCUCGUGAGUUGUGGCCGGUCAUCGCAGUGGUGUCCUCAACGUAGACAGGCUCUGCGUGCGGUAUAGCCCAGCCGUGUGUAGGCGACGGCUCCAGCCGCAGCAACUGUGCCAGCUCUGCCUCGGCGCGCCUCGACGGCCGUACCGCACAAUGAGCAAACAAGCUGUCACCACCAACUAAAAGCGCUAGCAGCAUCGGUCGCCCCUUUGGUUUUCUGUAGUCCCGGUUUCGUGCAGUCAAAUACCACGUGCCUUGACCCUUUCCUGGAGAACACACCAAGGCACAAGUCAGCAUACCUGGGCCAGUACUUCGGCCAAGUCAUCUUACCUGGCCCACCGGAGGCACUGCUGCGCCUGCGUCUAGCAUACACCAGGAGUACAUAAGCAACCACGACGACAGCGGGUGCUCAUUCUGGCAGCGGUUGCGACAGCAAGCACACGCAAUAACCAAGCUACUCUGCAUCUGCAGGUGACCUGGAGGUGACACCGGUCAUCCACGGACAGGACAACUCCGAGGAUGAAGCUGACCAAGAGGCUCUCAAACCAAUCUCGAGUUGGUCAGAGGCAAUUGAGACGUGCCGACACAGCACCCGGAGCUGAUGUCCACCGGAACUUAGCUUCCUGCAGCGAAAGUUUCUCGAAGCCGUUCUGAAAGAUAAACACCGGCACUUCCCAAUAUGGUACUGGCGCUGUCCUCUACCGGCGGGACGACAGUGACCUCUCGCGUUAACCGAUCAAAGUGAUCGGCUGUUACUCCUACACAAU
rnacentral:lncRNA from 1 species